AAAUUGAAGAGUUUGAUCAUGGCUCAGAUUGAACGCUGGCGGCAGGCCUAACACAUGCAAGUCGAACGGUAACAGGAAGCAGCUUGCUGCUUCGCUGACGAGUGGCGGACGGGUGAGUAAUGUCUGGGAAACUGCCUGAUGGAGGGGGAUAACUACUGGAAACGGUAGCUAAUACCGCAUAACGUUGCAAGACCAAAGAGGGGGACCUUCGGGCCUCUUGCCAUCGGAUGUGCCCAGAUGGGAUUAGCUUGUUGGUGGGGUAACGGCUCACCAAGGCGACGAUCCCUAGCUGGUCUGAGAGGAUGACCAGCCACACUGGAACUGAGACACGGUCCAGACUCCUACGGGAGGCAGCAGUGGGGAAUAUUGCACAAUGGGCGCAAGCCUGAUGCAGCCAUGCCGCGUGUAUGAAGAAGGCCUUCGGGUUGUAAAGUACUUUCAGCGGGGAGGAAGGGAGUAAAGUUAAUACCUUUGCUCAUUGACGUUACCCGCAGAAGAAGCACCGGCUAACUCCGUGCCAGCAGCCGCGGUAAUACGGAGGGUGCAAGCGUUAAUCGGAAUUACUGGGCGUAAAGCGCACGCAGGCGGUUUGUUAAGUCAGAUGUGAAAUCCCCGGGCUCAACCUGGGAACUGCAUCUGAUACUGGCAAGCUUGAGUCUCGUAGAGGGGGGUAGAAUUCCAGGUGUAGCGGUGAAAUGCGUAGAGAUCUGGAGGAAUACCGGUGGCGAAGGCGGCCCCCUGGACGAAGACUGACGCUCAGGUGCGAAAGCGUGGGGAGCAAACAGGAUUAGAUACCCUGGUAGUCCACGCCGUAAACGAUGUCGACUUGGAGGUUGUGCCCUUGAGGCGUGGCUUCCGGAGCUAACGCGUUAAGUCGACCGCCUGGGGAGUACGGCCGCAAGGUUAAAACUCAAAUGAAUUGACGGGGGCCCGCACAAGCGGUGGAGCAUGUGGUUUAAUUCGAUGCAACGCGAAGAACCUUACCUGGUCUUGACAUCCACAGAACUUUCCAGAGAUGGAUUGGUGCCUUCGGGAACUGUGAGACAGGUGCUGCAUGGCUGUCGUCAGCUCGUGUUGUGAAAUGUUGGGUUAAGUCCCGCAACGAGCGCAACCCUUAUCCUUUGUUGCCAGCGGUCCGGCCGGGAACUCAAAGGAGACUGCCAGUGAUAAACUGGAGGAAGGUGGGGAUGACGUCAAGUCAUCAUGGCCCUUACGACCAGGGCUACACACGUGCUACAAUGGCGCAUACAAAGAGAAGCGACCUCGCGAGAGCAAGCGGACCUCAUAAAGUGCGUCGUAGUCCGGAUUGGAGUCUGCAACUCGACUCCAUGAAGUCGGAAUCGCUAGUAAUCGUGGAUCAGAAUGCCACGGUGAAUACGUUCCCGGGCCUUGUACACACCGCCCGUCACACCAUGGGAGUGGGUUGCAAAAGAAGUAGGUAGCUUAACCUUCGGGAGGGCGCUUACCACUUUGUGAUUCAUGACUGGGGUGAAGUCGUAACAAGGUAACCGUAGGGGAACCUGCGGUUGGAUCACCUCCUUACCUUAAAGAA
rnacentral:rRNA from 1 species